rnacentral:rRNA from 1 species
UACGUAGGUGACGAGCGUUGUCCGGAGUUACUGGGCGUAAAGGGCGUGUAGGCGGCCCUGCGCGUCGCGCGUGAAAUCUCCCGGCUCAACUGGGAGGGUGGUCGCGAGACGGCAGGGCUUGAGGCUCGGUGAGGGGCGUGGAAUUCCGGGUGGAGCGGUGAAAUGCGUAGAGAUCAGGAGGAACACCGGUGGCGAAGGCGGCCCGCUGGGCUGUCACUGACGCUGAGGCGCGAAAGCUCGGGGAGCGAACGGG